rnacentral:rRNA from 1 species
UACGUAGGGGGGCAAGCGUUGUCCGGAUUUAUUGGGCGUAAAGCGCGCGUAGGCGGCAAGGUAUGUCGUGCGUGAAAUCUCCCGGCUUAACUGGGAGGGGCCGUGCGAAACUGCCUGGCUUGAGGUCGGAAGGGGAAAGUGGAAUUCCGGGUGGUAGUGGUGGAAUACGUAGAUAUCCGGAGGAACACCAGCGGCGAAGGCGGCUUUCUGGUCCGAUUCUGACGCUGAGGCGCGAAAGCGUGGGGAGCGAUCCGG